UCUCCGUUGGUGAACCAGCGGAGGGAUCAUUAUCGAGUUUAUAACUCCCAAACCCUAUGUGAACUUACCACUUGUUGCUUCGGCGCGCGCUUCGGUGCCGCCGAGGACACUUAAACUCUUUGUUUUUAUAAGCAUUUCUGAGUGGCCGAAAGGCAAAAUACAAUGAAUCAAAACUUUCAACAACGGAUCUCUUGGUUCUG
rnacentral:misc_RNA from 1 species